UUUCUUUUAGUUUAAUUGAGAAUGUUUGCCUUCCAAGCAAAAGGUCCUAAAUAAAAGGAAAGAAA
rnacentral:tRNA from 1 species